CCGUGCUAGGCGGGGGACUAGCGGUACCCUGUACCGGCAAUCCGCUAUAGCCGGGCUGAACUCCCUGCCCCAGGGCUCCGCCUGUGGGGUCUGACCCGCGUAAGUGGUGUUGAAGGUCUGGUCCCGCGCAAGUCGGCGCUGCUGAACCCCGUCAGGGCCGGAAGGCAGCAGCGGUAGGCAAUCCGCCGGCUGUGCCGCGGCCCACCGGGCCGGAGCCGGCUGCGCGGGUAACGCCCGUAGGCGCCAGUUCGAAGGCAGGGUGCACGG
rnacentral:SRP_RNA from 1 species